UUUUGUUCCUUCCCCAAAGACGCGUGAGAGAGAGAGACUCUCUAUAUUCUAAAUUCUUCUUUGCCCUAAAAUUUCUUAAUUCAAUCUCUCCCUCUUCUCUCUAAAAACCCUAAUUCUUCUAUUUCUUCUUCUGAAUCAAAACCUGUUGAGGAGGAGAGUAAUCAAUCUAGGAAUAUGGAUGCUCUAAGGAAACAGUUAGAUGUGUUGAUGGGAGCAAAUAGGAAUGGAGAUGUGACCGAAGUCAAUCGAAAGUAUUACGAUAGAGAUGUCUGUCGUCUCUUCCUAGUUGGUUUAUGCCCUCAUGAACUCUUCCAAUUAACGAAAAUGGAUAUGGGUGCGUGUUCGAAGGUGCAUUCAUUGCAGUUGAGGAAAGAAUAUGAAGAAGCCAAAGCAAGUGGUAGUCAUAGUUAUGAAAGAGAACUGGAGGAUGUCAUAGAUAGGCUUAUCGUUGAGUGUGAUCGGAAAAUUACAAGAGCUCUUAAGCGCUUGGAGGAAGAUGAUGCUAAAGCUGCUAUUGCCAUCUCUGUGUCUGAGGUUACCCAGUCACCCGAGGUGCUUGAUUUAUCAAAACAAAUUGCGCAGAAGUUAAAAGAAGUUGAUAAACUUGAUCUUGAAGGUUUGGCUGAUAGUAAGAUUCGUGCUAUGGAAUCGGUGGAAGAACUUAGAACAAAGAGGGCAGACAAACAGGCAAUGCUUCUUCUCGACGCCUUCAAUAAGGACAGAGCUUCUUUACAGCAGCCGCUUCCAGCUCCUCCACUUUUGGCUCCAUUGCCGAUGCUUGCUCCGCCAGAUCAUCGAACUCAAGAGAUGAUCAAUGAGAAGUUGAAGAAGGCAGAAGAUCUUGGUGAGCUUGGCAUGGUGGAUGAGGCACAAAAAGCACUAGAGGAGGCUGAAGCUCUGAAGAAGUUAGGUGCAAGGCUGGAGCCACUACCGGACUCCUCUAAAUAUACUGCUGCUGAUGUUCGCAUUACUGAUCAGAAGCUACGUGUAUGUGAUAUUUGUGGAGCAUUUUUGAGCGUGUACGACAGUGACCGCCGUUUGGCUGAUCAUUUUGGAGGAAAGCUUCAUUUGGGUUAUAUGCAGAUCCGGGAGAAGUUAGCAGAGCUUCAGUCAACAAGGGGCCAUCUUCAGAGUAAAAUUAUUAAACGUUGGGCUAAGGCGAAUCUGUAUGUUGUUACCUCUUAUGUCUUCUGGCUCUUUUUUUGUAAGAAUUCUUUAUAUUUCAUUUUUCUGGGUCGUUCCAACUUUUCUUAACAUUCUUCCAUAAAAUAGUGUUUGUAUGUUUGUGGUGGUUUGUUGGGGAAAGGUGUUUAAGAAGGGUACAGUAUUCUUCAAACACUGAACAAUUGCAGGUGCACUAUGUUUGUAAGUUUUCCUUGAUUGGUACGAGGGGUUAAUAACUGUUAGGGUUCAAGAGUAUUUCUGCGUCUCCUUUCUUGCGGAAUUUCAUAGGAAGACAGAAAUAAGAUUCGGAAGGUAGUAGAUCGAUCUGAAGAUGAUAGAAGAUCUAAAGAACGAAGCGUGGACCGCGACAGAGCAACGAGCAGGGAUCGUAGGGUAAGUAGGGACGACAGAGGUGAUACCCGCGAUCGAGGAAGAGAUUAUGACCGUAGGAACAGAGAUCAUGACCGGGAUCGUAACAGGGAACGAGAGAGAGAAUCCGACCGUUCCCGGAAUCAUGAUUCCAGGAGUCGCAGAAGAUCACGAUCCCGGUCGAGGGAUCGUUCUUCAAGGGAUCAUGGCCGCCAUAGCAGCAGGCGGUACGAUCGCUACUGAUUGGUGUUGAAGUUACAAGAACCAUGAGGAUAAGGCUGAAGGAAAGUUCUGGAUGUUUAAGUUUUUUAAUGUACCAAGAAUGAUGUCCUGUUUUAAUUUUUAGAUCUCGAUAGUGGAUUUAAGUAAUGCCUGCAAUGAUGGCAUCUUAAUCCAUCAUCAAAUUUUACUUUCUAUUUUCAAGAGAUUAUUUUUAGCUCGUAGAUCGGUUGCUUUGAUAGAGGAUUCAGCUAUUUUAACUUGUCAAGGAUUAUUCCUAAUUUGUGUGAA